rnacentral:misc_RNA from 1 species
UCUCCCGUGAGGGAGCAGUCUCGCCUGACACUUGUAACAGGCAACGAGGGUUGCGUUCGUUUCCCCACUUAAGGGAACAGCUCAAGCCACGAACUGACGACGGCCAUGCAUCACCUGCCAUACACCCUCGAAGGCUCCCUAAGUUUCCCUAGGGAUGCAGUAUGGUUUCUAGCCUUGGUAAGGUUCCUCGCUUAUCGACGAAUUAAGCCCCAUGAUCCACCGCUUGUGCGAGCCCCCGUCUAUUCCUUUGAGUUUUAAGCUUGCGCUCGUACUACCCAGGCGGUCCGCUUAACGCGUUAGCUUACGCCACAGAGAGGGUCGAUACUCCCUAUAGCUAGCGGACAACGUUUAGGGCGUGGACUA